GGUAAGUAGGGAAAAGUACAAGUUAGCUAAGAAGGAGGCUAAGGUAGUAGUUGCGGCUGCUAAGACAACAGUCUUCGAGAGUUUGUAUAAGGGGUUAGAAGAGAAAGACGGGGAGAAAAUGUAUUUUAGGCUGGCCAAGUCUAGGGAGCAGAAGGGUAGGGAUCUGGACCAAGUAAAGUAUAUUAAGGGAGAGAAUGGCAGAGUAUUGGUGGAG
rnacentral:lncRNA from 1 species